AAAAAUUCUAAUUGACUUUACGAAACAUAUUACCAGUAAGUGUUCUUUAAAAGCCUGAAAAUUGCUAAUUGUAACUAUAGAAUCUUCGCUGGAACGACAUCCCCAUCCAGCUGCUUCUUUUCCACUUCCUGCCAGCUUUACAACUGUGGACUCUGGACCUGCUAAGCAUUCAACAGCUCCUCCCGCUACUCCAGAAACUUCUAUAUUGGUGGAAGAUAGGAAUGAACUUCCAUUACGCUUUCAUCGUUUACCAGUAAGUGAAGCUGAAAUGCAAGCUGUUGAAUCUGGUGGAGCUUAUGCUUUUUAACUUCAUUAAUAAAGACAAAAGUUUUUAAGUUUGAAUACGCUAUUAACGCCGAUCACGCAUCCCAUUACUUGUUCACUUUCAAUGACGAUAAUGAUACCAUAAAUUCCAUGUUAUAAUAAUAUAUGUAUAUUC
rnacentral:misc_RNA from 1 species